UUGAACGCUGGCGGCAGGCCUAACACAUGCAAGUCGAGCGGUAGCACAGAGAGCUUGCUCUCGGGUGACGAGCGGCGGACGGGUGAGUAAUGUCUGGGAAACUGCCUGAUGGAGGGGGAUAACUACUGGAAACGGUAGCUAAUACCGCAUAACGUCGCAAGACCAAAGUGGGGGACCUUCGGGCCUCAUGCCAUCAGAUGUGCCCAGAUGGGAUUAGCUAGUAGGUGGGGUAACGGCUCACCUAGGCGACGAUCCCUAGCUGGUCUGAGAGGAUGACCAGCCACACUGGAACUGAGACACGGUCCAGACUCCUACGGGAGGCAGCAGUGGGGAAUAUUGCACAAUGGGCGCAAGCCUGAUGCAGCCAUGCCGCGUGUGUGAAGAAGGCCUUCGGGUUGUAAAGCACUUUCAGCGGGGAGGAAGGCGGUGAGGUUAAUAACCUCAUCGAUUGACGUUACCCGCAGAAGAAGCACCGGCUAACUCCGUGCCAGCAGCCGCGGUAAUACGGAGGGUGCAAGCGUUAAUCGGAAUUACUGGGCGUAAAGCGCACGCAGGCGGUCUGUCAAGUCGGAUUUGAAAUCCCCGGGCUCAACCUGGGAACUGCAUUCGAAACUGGCAGGCUAGAGUCUUGUAGAGGGGGGUAGAAUUCCAGGUGUAGCGGUGAAAUGCGUAGAGAUCUGGAGGAAUACCGGUGGCGAAGGCGGCCCCCUGGACAAAGACUGACGCUCAGGUGCGAAAGCGUGGGGAGCAAACAGGAUUAGAUACCCUGGUAGUCCACGCCGUAAACGAUGUCGAUUUGGAGGUUGUGCCCUUGAGGCGUGGCUUCCGGAGCUAACGCGUUAAAUCGACCGCCUGGGGAGUACGGCCGCAAGGUUAAAACUCAAAUGAAUUGACGGGGGCCCGCACAAGCGGUGGAGCAUGUGGUUUAAUUCGAUGCAACGCGAAGAACCUUACCUGGUCUUGACAUCCACAGAACUUUCCAGAGAUGGAUUGGUGCCUUCGGGAACUGUGAGACAGGUGCUGCAUGGCUGUCGUCAGCUCGUGUUGUGAAAUGUUGGGUUAAGUCCCGCAACGAGCGCAACCCUUAUCCUUUGUUGCCAGCGGUUAGGCCGGGAACUCAAAGGAGACUGCCAGUGAUAAACUGGAGGAAGGUGGGGAUGACGUCAAGUCAUCAUGGCCCUUACGACCAGGGCUACACACGUGCUACAAUGGCAUAUACAAAGAGAAGCGACCUCGCGAGAGCAAGCGGACCUCAUAAAGUAUGUCGUAGUCCGGAUUGGAGUCUGCAACUCGACUCCAUGAAGUCGGAAUCGCUAGUAAUCGUAGAUCAGAAUGCUACGGUGAAUACGUUCCCGGGCCUUGUACACACCGCCCGUCACACCAUGGGAGUGGGUUGCAAAAGAAGUAGGUAGCUUAACCUUCGGGAGGGCGCUUACCACUUUGUGAUUCAUGACUGGGGUG
rnacentral:rRNA from 1 species